rnacentral:tRNA from 1 species
GGAGAGGUCGCAUAGUGGUCUAGUGCGGUGGUCUUGAAAACCACUGUGUCGCAAGGCACCGAGGGUUCGAAUCCCUCCCUCUCCGCCA